GAUAUUUUUUUAUAUUUGGUUCGAAAAUGUUCGGAAUUUUUUGAUGUUCGUACUCAUAUUGUACCAACACGAUUCAAAUAAUUUAAAUGAAAGUUACAAACAAAACAAAUCAAGAUAUUACAGAUAUUACAGAUACUGACCAUCUUGUGAUAAUCAAGUACUGUUUCACACUGGAGGUUACCGCACAAAACAAAUCAAGAUAUAACACAUACUGACCUUCUUGUGAUAAUAAAGUACUGUUUCACACUGGAGGUUACGAUUUCAUUUAAUAAAACACAGAAACAUUUACAUUUAAAUGAAUGCAGAGCUGUCAAGCUUCGCAUCGAGGGAACGAUUGGUUUUUAUAAUUAAAUAAUAAAAAAAACUACCGGAAAUUAAAUCACAAUAAUUUGAAAUAAUGUUUAAAAUGUAUUAACAUUUUAUAACAAGUCUGGUUGUAUUAGAUAUAAACAUGACUCUGCCUUGUCAUUGGAUUUUUUCCCCUACCCUUAAUUCCAAAAUGGUGGAAGAUAAUGGCAGCUCUGCCUUCUUGUUAAGCCACUACGCUUGAGCAGACGGCCAUUUUCAAAGAUAGCGGCGUGGUUUAAACUUCAGGCCUUUUAAGAUCUACAUAGGGACCAAAUAGUGUCAAACAAUAUCGUUGUUGUCCACUCGCGAUUUUUUUAUAAAAGAAUUGCAGUCACGGGUAAACUCUGACGGUCGAUCGGAUGAAGAAGAGCGUGACAUCCUGGUAGGAAAGUCGAAAAGUCCGACAAAGAUGAGAUCAAUUUACAUACAGGAUGCAACGGUGGACAGAGUAAAAGUGGCUUUGUGGAGAAACACCAACAAAGACGUCAGAACUGGGGAUUACGUCAAAAUCACUGAUUUGACAAUACACACUUACCAAACAAAGUACACAACUGAAACCAGCUUCAAUUCUACCUACACAACUUCAGUUACUAAAGUCGAACAACCAACUGUACAUGUGACGGUUACAGUAAUAGGUGCCUGUGUACAAGAUGACAUUACAGAACUUCUCCUCAGUGAUGACUCUGUGAGGGCAAUACCUUCACAAUUAUUAAUGGCUGCCCUUCCACAAGAACUUGAUGAAGACUUGGAUCCAGAAUCUUUCUUUGCAGAGAGAAAAACAAACUUAAGGCUGCAAUUAAAAGGAUCAGAAGUACUUUCAGUGAUACUUCAGUAAACUGUUAUACAUAUACAUGACAUUAUUCAGCAUUCCUAGUUUACCUUGUUUUCCCUAGUGUUUUUUUUUAUAUAAAUCUACUACUUUUUCAUACAUUUUACAACAAGCUCCUACUUUUCCUAGUUAUGCCCCUCUUCGAAGAAGGGGGAUAUUGCUUUGCACAUGUUAGUGUGUUGGUCUGUCUGUCCGUCCACCACAUGAUUGUCUGAUGAUAACUCAAGAACGCUUAGGCCUAGGAUCAUGAAACUUCAUACGUACAUUGAUCAUGACUGGCAGAUGACCAACUAUUGAUUUUGAGGUCAAUGGACACAGGUGAAGGUCAUAGUGACUUGAAAUAAGAAAAUGGUUUCUAAAUGUGACUCCAGAAUGCUUACACUAGGAUCAUGAAACUUAAUAGAGACAUUGAUCAUGACCAGCAUCUGACCCCUACUGAUUUUCAGGUCAAUAGGUCAAAGGUCAAGGUCACAGUGA